rnacentral:rRNA from 1 species
GUAGGUGGCAAGCGUUGUCCGGAAUUAUUGGGCGUAAAGCGCGCGCAGGGUGGUUCUUUAAGUCUGACGUGAAAGCCCCCGGGCUCAACCGGGGAGGGUCAUUGGAAACUGGGGAACUUGAGUGCAGGAGAGGAAAGUGGAAUUCCACGUGUAGCGGUGAAAUGCGUAGAUAUGUGGAGGAACACCAGUGGCGAAGGCGACUUUCUGGCCUGUAACUGACACUGAGGCGCGAAAGCGUGGGGAGCAAACAGGAUUAGAUACCCUGGUAGUCCACGCCGUAAACGAUGAGUGCUAAGUGUUGGGGGGUUUCCGCCCCUCAGUGCUGCAGCUAACGCAUUAGGCACUCCGCCUGGGGAGUACGGUCGCAAGACUG